AGAUAGAGUGGGCAUUUUCUUCAGCAAAAAAAGGAAAAGAACUUCACAGAUGCAGUCCAGUGUUUCGCUACAUAUAACCAUUCUGAUUUUUUUUAUCCAGUCCAUGCAGCUAGAUUUCAACGGAAGGGUAAUCCAACUAGAAACCAACACCGCUGCUGAAUUCAGAUCAGAUGAAGAAUCGAUGGUUUACUACCACCACAUGGCCAAGGCCUCUAAUCUUGAGUUAUCCAAACCAUAUUCAGCCAAACUGUCUGGACUGAGAGAGCACUUCAAGAUUCACAAUUCAUGUCUCACAUCAAGUAGUGCAAAAGUACAAUUGAGUGAGCAAGAAACACAUCAAAUUAACACAAGGACUAAUAACUCUCACUUCCUUCAAUGGCCCAAUAUGCAAUCUCCAGCAGAACAUAGUGACUUUGCAAGCAUAACGCUAUGGCACGAAACACCAACUGUUCAAACAAAGCUCAAAGGGGAAAUGGAACACAUUUCACAAGAUCCGCGAUACAGAUAGGCCAGCCAACAUCAUGCAAAGCAUCACUAGGAUAGUUCACUAGGAGUUGGGAGAAUAACAGCAUUUUAGAUAAAUCAGGUUCGCUCCGUGUCAAACUCAGAUGUCAUAGUCUGCUCAAAAUAUCAGCACCAACCCACGUGAUCCAAAUCCAAGCUCUGUGCAGGUCAGUUGCACAGCACUGCUGA